rnacentral:rRNA from 1 species
AACGAACGCUGGCGGCAGGCUUAACACAUGCAAGUCGAACGCUCCGCAAGGAGAGUGGCAGACGGGUGAGUAACGCGUGGGAACGUACCUUUCAGUUCGGAAUAACUCAGGGAAACUUGUGCUAAUACCGGAUACGCCCGUAAGGGGAAAGAUUUAUCGCUGAAAGAUCGGCCCGCGUUGGAUUAGCUAGUUGGUGGGGUAAUGGCCUACCAAGGCGACGAUCCAUAGCUGGUCUGAGAGGAUGAUCAGCCACACUGGGACUGAGACACGGCCCAGACUCCUACGGGAGGCAGCAGUGGGGAAUAUUGGACAAUGGGCGAAAGCCUGAUCCAGCCAUGCCGCGUGAGUGAUGAAGGCCCUAGGGUUGUAAAGCUCUUUCACCGAUGAAGAUAAUGACGGUAGUCGGAGAAGAAGCCCCGGCUAACUUCGUGCCAGCCGCCGCAGUAA